rnacentral:rRNA from 1 species
UACGAAGGGGGCGAGCGUUGUCCGGAAUUAUUGGGCGUAAAGAGCUCGUAGGCGGUCUGUCGCGUCUGCUGUGAAAACUCAGGGCUUAACCCUGAGCUUGCAGUGGGUACGGGCAGACUAGAGUGCGGUAGGGGAGACUGGAAUUCCUGGUGUAGCGGUGAAAUGCGCAGAUAUCAGGAGGAACACCGGUGGCGAAGGCGG